rnacentral:rRNA from 1 species
UACAGAGGUCCCGAGCGUUGUUCGGAUUCAUUGGGCGUAAAGGGUGCGUAGGCGGCGGGGCAAGUCUGAUGUGAAAUCCUGGGGCUCAACCCCAGAACUGCAUUGGAUACUGCCUUGCUAGAGUACUGGAGAGGGAACUGGAAUUUACGGUGUAGCAGUGAAAUGCGUAGAGAUCGUAAGGAAGGCCAGUGGCGAAGGCGAGUUCCUGGACAGUAACUGACGCUGAGGCACGAAGGCCAGGGGAGCAAACGGG